rnacentral:rRNA from 1 species
UACGGAGGGUGCAAGCGUUGCUCAGAAUUAUUGGGCGUAAAGGGCAGGUAGGUGGUCUCAUUUGUCUGGGGUGAAAUCCUUGGGCUUAACUCAAGAAGUGCCCCAGAAACGGUGAGACUAGAGUACUGGAGAGGGUCGUGGAAUUCCCGGUGUAGCGGUGAAAUGCGUAGAGAUCGGGAGGAACACCAGAGGCGAAGGCGGCGACCUGGACAGUUACUGACACUCAACUGCGAAAGCGUGGGGAGCAAACAGG